rnacentral:rRNA from 1 species
GCUUACGGCCAUACCACACUGUCUGUGUCCGAUCUUGUCUGAUCUCGGAAGCUAAGCAGGGUCGGGACUGGUU